AUUGAACGCUGGCGGCAGGCCUAACACAUGCAAGUCGAACGAGUGGCGGACGGGUGAGUAAUGUCUGGGAAACUGCCCGAUGGAGGGGGAUAACUACUGGAAACGGUAGCUAAUACCGCAUACCAUCGGAUGUGCCCAGAUUGGAUGAGCUAGGAGGUGGGGUAACGGCUAACCUAGGCGACGAUCCCUAGCUGGUCUGAGAGGAUGACCAGCCACACUGGAACUGAGACACGGUCCAGAUGCCUACGGGAGGCAGCAGUGGGGAAUAUUGCACAAUGGGCGCAAGCCUGAGGCAGCCAUGCGGGGUGUCGGAAGAAGGCCUUCGGGUUGUAAAGUACUUUCAGCGAGGAGGCGUUACUCGCAGAAGAAGCACCGGCUAACUCCGUGCCAGCCGCCGCGGUAAUAC
rnacentral:rRNA from 1 species